GAACAAGGACACAUUGGUUGAACAAGCAAAGUCCACAUAGAAAGAAUUUUUGACUAAAAGCAUCUUGAAAUUAAACAUUCCUAAAUUGUCCUGAAAAAGAAUUAACCCUAUAUAACAUUCCUGAGGUAAGCCAACAGCUCCACCUACUGUUUGAAACAUAUAGGAAUAUUAUAUAAUUGGACCAGGUCAGAAGGUUAACAGAUAAGGAAUGACAUAUAACCCCAUGAUAUAGACACACAGGGGACACCUAAGAGAUACCUAAGAAAAGGACACCUAAAAGAUACACAGAAAGAGACACACACAGAAAAGAAAGGAGAUAGGACACAAGACAAGAGGCGGACAAGAAGACAUCUUGAAACAAUCUUAAAAAUAACAUCCAGAACAUCUAUAGGUAAAUAAAAGCCAAUUACACUAACUAUAAAAUUACAUAACUAAAAGCUAAUAUUUUCUGGGUAAAAGCGGAUAUGAAAUCCGCCAGAUUAGGUUUCAUGAUAGCUCGUGAUAAAGAUUAAUACCUCAAACUGCAGACUGGAAUAUUAAUCAAAAUCAUGAAAUAAAAAAUUUUAAUAUCAAGUUACCCAUUAGAAUAUAAAUCCUAUAACAAUAUAUAGAGUAUUUACCAGAUAAGA